rnacentral:misc_RNA from 1 species
AAGUCGUAACAAGGUUUCCGUAGGUGAACCUGAGGAAGGAUCAUUAACCUACCCAACGUUAAAACAACCCCGUGAACUUUCAGCUUGCUCCCGCCGUGACAGCAGCAAUUCCUGGUAAAUCACCAGCUUUUGAGUCAGGGACCUCUGCCGAUAGUGAUAUUUUAUAGUUACGGUUGAGCGAUUGCAUCUAGUGACCUGACAUCCCAAGUAAUCAGUGUCGAAAGUGUCAUUGAUUGUGUAAGGAUGGCGCAGUCACGAUCGCUGUAACCGGGUCACCGGGCUCUGCCUCUAACUUCGCCGCGCGUGAAAUUCGCACGGACCAAAAACCGAACAACUGUUAAGAUAUCUUGGUUCUC